UUUAAAAAAAGAUCUUGAUCGUGAUCUGGUUAAUGUGAGAGGGGCGCCGCCAUGUUUGUUCGCGCUGCAGUUCAGAGAGUCCUGUCAGUCGGGAUUUACAUCACGUAAAUUCAUCAAUUUCUCGCGAAAUACAUGCAAAUUUGGCCAUCAUAAUGGAUGUUUUCAUUAGUUAAACAACAAAGAUGUUCCAAAGAUGUCUGCUCCUGUGGAUGUCAUUGCAUGCAUCAUCCAUGGCCUGGAGAAGAGUGAUUGAUUGUGAGGAGCCUGUUGAAAACCUUCCACCUCCAUGUGGAGAAAAAUUCUUCAGUUGUGUUACGGUAAGGAAAGGGGAUUAUGGGGGUAAAUGUAAGGUGAUAAACUGUGGAUGGGCCUGAAACCAUGAUUGCUUUCAGUGCCGUUGCUAGGAAUUGUUGACCCUUUGCACUGAUUUUGUUAUGGGGGCCCCUCAUAAUCACAUUCAGGGGUGGGGGGAGGAUAACUUUACACUACAAAAACUUCUGCAGCGAUAACUGCGCGUCACUGCUAACCAGCUUAUUUUACUGGAAAAUCUACUCUUUUUUUCAAAGCAGGCGAGCUAUUGUCAAAGCUACCGUCAUGGAUGUUGCAAAAAAAAAAAAAAAAGAGGAUGAGGCAGAGUCUGAUAGUAAAGCCCCGUUGCUAAUGCUAAAUAUAUGGCCCUUGGCAUAUAUUGAGUCAAAAUUCACAUUUUAAAGAAAAAAGGUACCUGGUUAGUGUUUAAUAGCCUACAGGGGUAAAAAAUCUAAAAUAAAACAAUAAUUAGAUUUUUAAAUGUUUGUUGUUCAACAGCUAGUGUUUAAUUAAAAAAAAAUGUGUCUAUUUAACGAAACCAGCUCUCGUAACUGUAUAUAUAGGCUAAAACUUCUAAUAAUAAUAAUAAUAAUAACAAUACCUUACAUUUUUAGGCGCCUUUCAAGGCACUCAAGGACACUGUAUUUUGGAUUAUUUUAUAUUUAUUGUUUUUCUUUUAUAAUGUACAGAGUUAUACAAAACACACAAGCAUACAAAUCAAACAAUCAAAUCACUAAAAGCUAUUCUGAACAGAUGAGUUUUGAUCUGAGCUUUAUCUCAAAGAACGUGAAUAAAUGUACAACCAAAAAAGAUCUGAAAGAUAAACAAGAGUCAGAUAAUGGAGUGCUUUAUUGGUAAGCAACAAGAUUUAGUAGCAGUUUUGGGAAAACAGAUAAAAAAUCAGCCAACUGGGGGGAUGUGUUCAGAUACAAGUGCAUUAUACAACUGUACAAUAAAAAAAUAUGCAGUGCAUUGCUGUACCACACAGUGAAGUCAAAAGUGAGGACUGUUUGUAUUAUGCUUUGGCAGAUAUUCAUUGGGCUUCUUCAAGGACAAGAGAAAGAUCUGAAAAGAACCUGAUAUAGAAUGUCUUGCUGUAAUUUUUUUUUUACCACCCAAAAUGUGUCAAGAAAUCUAGUAUCUUAGAAAUACAUAAGCCCAAUUUUUUAUUGGGAAGAAUCGGUACCAAAGUUAACAAAGUUGACUAACCAUCCAAAGUGCUGUAACCUGUUUGAGAAGUUGCAUGUCAAACUGUAUUGUAGGUAAAGGUUCUUGGAACACUAUCCCAUAAUUACAACAUUACUAAAGGCUUUCCCUGGAGGAAGUGACAAGCAGUGAUCAUAACAGGAGGGCUCAGAAAUUCUAGCGAAAGUAAUAGCGUUGAGACAUGUCCAAUCAGUCCACACACCCACAAAAAAAUUCACAUACACUUUGUAUGUGGGAGACACGGCCGAUGACUUCAGAAGUUAUCUAUGAAAGUUUUGAGGCCACUGCAGGACGUUUAUGGUAAAAGGGGAAAGAACCUCUAGAUAUAUAAGAUGGAGAUUUGGGAACAUUUGCAGAAGUCAUCGUGGCUCAGAGAAAGACCCAGAGUACCCAACUCUAAAACCCUGCCUGCGAAGACCUUAGACACAAACCAACAAAGAAGAUACAAUGCGUCCGAUGAUUUUCACCCUCCUGAUGCUGUGUGUGAGAUCUGGUAGACUUGCACCAUAUGGGAACCACACUUUGGAUAAAAGGAGUCUAGAAACCUGCAAAAAUAUAAGGCUGCAGGCUGAAAGGAUAAUAGAUAUGAUAAUCGAUGAAAAUUUCACACUUACUUUAAGCAGUAGGCCUACUGUCUCUUCAAAAAAGGACUGUGGAGUGGCAAAGUGUGCAGUUCUACAGAAAUUUAAUGAUUAUCAUAACUGCAGUGCAACACUCCUGAAUGAUGGCAAUAAAAUCAAGAAUGAAAUUAAAGGCCUAACUGAUAACUUACAGAUGCUCACAUGCCCAGAUAAAGAUAAAACGUGCAAUUUAUCAAAACCCUCGUGCCACUUGGAAAAUCAACAAAUCUCUAUGUGGAUCAAAACUGAAGCAUUUGUGCAUCAGGUCUUUAGGGCGUGUUUAUAUACAAUGCAACAUGUGUGUCCUAAAUUGUCUUAAAAAGCUAAAAGUACUGAGAAUAUCCUGACAUUUUUAUAUUUAUUUAUUUUUAUUUAUCAUUUAAAGUGGUUUUUGUUUUUAUAUGAUUUUUUUUUACUUUGUUCGUGCAUCUGACAUUUCUUGUUUAUUGUGAUGUAUUCAUUUCAAUAAAGAUUUUUGGAAAAAAUAAAUGUAUUUUUCAAUUUUUACAAUACAAUUUAUCUGAUCUGUUUCAACAAAAAAACAACACAGCAAGUGAAUUUCAAAUCAAGAGUUUAUUUUCCAUUUCAUGAAGCAGUUUCCAUUUCCCUGUUAAUGAAACGACAGUUAUGGUCAACUUUAUCAACUUUAUGAAUAACAAAAUACUACAAAAUUCAAAAUGUAUUCUUUUUCAAGAAAUAGGAAAUAAAUAGAAUCUAAAUGACAGAAAUAGAAAGAACAGGGUUUUUACUUUUAUAAAGCUCCUUUUUGUGGAAUGGUUUUUAAUGAAAAAACAAACACUAAGACUCAGAGAUGGAUGAGAGAGACAAUGGCAUGAAAUAAACUGAUGAUAAACAUGAACCUGUCCCUUUUUCCCCUGGAACUUGACACCUUAUUACGGAAUUCAACUUAAUCGCUCCCUGUUUUUUUUUCUGUUCUUAACAAGUAAUCAUCAACCAAUUCUGGAACUCUAGAAAACAUUCUUUUUUGGGAUCUGAUCAAGUACAGAUGCUAUUGCCAAAGGUUUUCAGCAUCCGCCUGAUGACCAGAAUAUAAUGAUCGGACACCUGAUAAUGAUGUUUGGUCUUAAUAAAAAUGAAUUGGCCCCUGGUCAGAUGAGGGUCCUUUUAAAGGAGAAAAGGCAGGCAAAAAAACGUUUCCCAUCAUACAGGCACAGCAAUAAAACUAAACCAGUCACGUCCCCUUUUCAUUUUGAAAGUAAUGAUUCAACAUGAGCAUGUGAGUUCCAAAACCCCAGCCCCACAAAAAAGGGAAUGAGAGACGUGACUGCAAGCGUGUGACUUGUAUAGAGAGUUUUAAUGAAGCACAGUUUAGCUGGCAUACCCGAAUAAAAGAUCAUAAGCCACACGGUUUGAAUAAUGUAAAUAGUAUUUCAUAAUUUAAAAUCUGAAGCAUUGCUGAAUAUAACAGAGUGACAGUGUUCAAAAAUAGUUACAGUUACAAAGAAGCGUUCCGGGUAAAUGCUGAAAUAUUUUGCUUUUUGCAGUCAUAUGACUGUGGGAAUCUGAGGAAAUUUAAAUAAAUGGCACGACAAAAUAGAGAUGAUUGACAUUGUGACUGGGUACCAAACAAAUAAAAAGAAAAUGCCUGAAAACAUAAGAGUGUUGUAUUCUGCUACCAAAAAAAAAAAAAGAAGUGUGUUUUAUCCCAAGCAAGCGAGGUAACAUCAAA